UGUCUAACAAGCGACAGGUGGCUAAUCAAGUGGCUAAUCAACUAUCGACUGAAGGUGGAAGGACAUAUUUUCGUACAACAUACAAGCUAUAACCAGCACUGAAGAGAGCAGCAGGUGACUCCACUUGCAGUCUGUACAGCCCCCGCACCAUCUCCACUCCUGCAGCUGCCAGACUGAAGCAGAGCACAGAAGUCUCCAUCAUCAGCCUCAGACCCUGGGGACAGGAG